CUCACCAUCAGGCCACCGUUUGCCUCAGUGAACAUUCAACGCUGUCGGUGAGUUUGAGCUAAAUGGAAAAAAACCAUCGACCGUUGAUUGUACCCUGCGGCCGAGCCCUACCGAGCCUCGCUUC
rnacentral:pre_miRNA from 8 species